GACCUUGGAAAUGAGGAGGUGACCCAGCCUUGGUGCCCGUUGGACGUUCACGCGGAAAGUGUGAGGGGGUGGGUAGCGGACCUGGGGGCGGGGCCCCGGGGAGGGAGGAAGCCCAGGGGGGGCGGGGCCGCGGGGGUGUGGCCAGCGCCGCCCCGGUACAGGGGCGGAGAGGCUGCGGCCCGGCUGCCCAUCAGAUGGGGCCGCCCUGCAGAGGCCAGGUGCCCCAGUCAAGGAAACUGCAAAGUGCCACCUUCUUAAGAAGCUGCCGGAGAAGAACCUGGAAACAACUGGGCCUACGUCAGCGGAGGGUGGACGUCUGUUCGUACGUGGGAACCUCCCAGUAGGCACGAGAGGCCUGGGGCGCCGGGCCGGCCCCGGCCAUCCCCGGAGCGUGGCCCACGACCCGGCCCCGCCGCCAGGGCCGGCGAGCCGUCCACCCGUGUGCCCCCGGGAGGGACUGACCCAGAGUCGUGAGGUCAGGUGACCGUGCGGCCCUGCACAGCCGCAGGUCCCGGGAGGCCACGUGGUCACAGCCGCCCCGUUUCUGUUGGACGGGCGAACAGUCUCAACCUGGUGACUGGGUGCUUCUUUCAGAAGGAAGGUGAGGCCCGCACACAGCAUGGUGAGAGAGGCGGGGGUCUGCAGACAAGAAGGAAUAGUGUGGUUCUGUGCACUGCUCUCGGGAUGUUCCUACGUGUAUCAAGACGCCUAACUUUGAAAGAAGGCCCCCACGCCUCCACCCCUGCGCCCCCAGCUGGCAGGCACUUGGUUCUCUUGACCCACCAACCCCUGGAAGCCAUCGAGAGGGUGUGCUUGGGGCAGGGGGCAGCUCCACGACUUACCAGCCUCUCAAAAUGGAAAAUCUUCAUCCGUUUGCCAACUCCAGAGCUAUCUGCGUGGAGAUGGGAUCCAAGCUCCUUCCAGAGACAAACCCUCUUCCUCCCCUCCGUCCCCCGGCCCCACGCCUGCCAGGCUCUGACCCAGUCCGGGCUAGGACACCGGCUGGUCCUGGCUGGCCCUCCUGAGGGACCACCUUCCCUGACCUCCCUCUUCCCAGCGGUCACUCGGCCCAUUCCUAUGCUGCACGGACUUGCGGGGUUUUGUUUAAUGUUGAAGAGGGCGGCAGAGGAUGAGAUGGUUGGAUGGCAUCACCCACUCAAUGGACAUGAAUCUGAACAGCUGGCAGACAGGGGAGCCGAGCCUGCUGCAGCCCAUGGGGCCGCAAAGAGUCCGACGACUUGGCGACUGAACAACACCCAGUCGUGCCCGCCGGGGUGCAGGGUGGCGCUCGCUGUUCACGUGGCUCUCCCCGAGCGCGCCUGGCAGGGAGCAUGACCCGAUAAAUAAACGUGACUAAGUCAAGAUUUCUGCC
rnacentral:lncRNA from 1 species